GGCUCAGGAUGAACGCUGGCAGUAUGCUUAACACAUGCAAGUCGAACGAGGGUUUACCCUAGUGGCGGACGGGUGAGUAAUGCGUAAGAAUUUACCUUAAGGAAAGGUAUACCCUUUGGAAACGAUGGAUAAUCCCUUAUAGAGGCGCAAGCCCUAAACGGUUUGGAAAAACCUUUAAAUCACUUUACGGAUUAAACCUGCUUCUGCCUGUGGGCAAUGCGGGUUCGGCAUAGCCUUGGCCGCCUAACCAUGCCGCGGAUGGCCAGAGGCCAACCCAGCGGGUCCGUAUCGGAUUGGGCAUUUUUCCUAACCGCCUUUUGAUAAGCUUACGUCUGAUUAGCUAGUUGGCGAGGUAAAAGCUCACCAAGGCGACGACCAGUUAGCUGGUUUGAGAGAAUGAUCAACCACUACUGGGACUGAGCACUCGGCCCAGACUCCUACGGGAGGCAGCAUGGAGGAAUUUUUCGCAAUGGGCGCAAGCCUGACGUAAGCAAAACUGCGGUGGAAGGAUGAAAGCUCGAGGGCUGUAAACUCCCUUUUCCUAGAGAAAGAAGUUUCUGAACGGAUAUCUUGCGCGUAAUAAGCCAUCAACUAACUGCGGUGGCAGCAAGCUGCGGUUAAUACAGAGAAUGCUAAGCGUUAUCCCUCAGAGUAACACAGGGUGGUGCAUGGCUGUCGUCAGGCUCGUGAUGCGAAUUGUUCUGUAAGUCAGAUAACGGAGCGCAACCCCUCGUGCUUUGUUCGUAGAUGUAAGGGCAUGCACGUAUUGCUAUAAAGCGGGCAUAGCCCGCCAAUACUUGCCCGCCAGGCCGCAUUUGGCGGCGCCCCGAAGGGUCCUGGGCUUUGCCCAUCAAUGCGGGUCCGUACUUCNGUAACAGGCACUGUCGCCGAAGGCGACCAAGCCCAGUUUAUAUCGUAGUCAAAGCAGACUGCUGGUGAGAAAUCAGAGGAAGGUGAGGAUGAUGUCAAGUCAGCAUGCCCCUUACGUCCUGGGCUACACACGUGNUACAAUGGCCAACACAAAGAGAAGCAACGGGGCGACCCCAAGCAAACCUCAAAAAAUUGGUCUCAGUUCAGAUUGCAGGCUGCAACUCGCCUGCAUGAAGGUGGAAUCGCUAGUAAUCGCCGGUCAGCUAUACGGCGGUGAAUCCGUUCCCGGGCUUUGUACACACCGCCCGUCACACCAUGGGAGCUGACUAUGCCCAAAGUCGUUACUCUAACGAAAUUUCGAGGGGGACGCCUAAGGCAGAGUGAGUGACUGGGGUGAAGUCGUAACAAGGUAGCCG
rnacentral:rRNA from 1 species